UAACUCUUCCCUUGUGCCCUCAG
rnacentral:miRNA from 1 species